CUUUUCCCUGAAGAUGUGUCUAUGGUGUGGCUGGCACUUUAAAGAAGUCUUUCCUUUGUCUUACGGCUUCCAGAAUUCCUGAUGAGGAGUCUGCUAUCAAUCUUAUCUUGUGGCUUUGAAGUGAUAAUGUCAUUCUCACCUGUAAUCCCAGCACUUUGGGAGGCUGAGGCCCAGGAAUUCAAGACCAACAUGGCAAAACCCUGUCUCUACAAAGAUACAAAAAUUAGCUGGAUGUGGUGGUGUGCACCUGUAGUCCCAGAUACUUGGGAGGCUGAGGUGGGAGGA
rnacentral:lncRNA from 10 species